UACGUAGGGCGCAAGCGUUGUCCGGAAUUAUUGGGCGUAAAGAGCUCGUAGGCGGUUUGUCGCGUCUGCCGUGAAAGCCCGGGGCUUAACUCCGGGUCUGCGGUGGAUACGGGCAGACUAGAGGCAGGUAGGGGAGAACGGAAUUCCCGGUGUAGCGGUGAAAUGCGCAGAUAUCAGGAGGAACACCGAUGGCGAAGGCAGGUCUCUGGGCAUUAACUGACGCUGAGGAGCGAAAGCAUGGGGAGCGAACAGG
rnacentral:rRNA from 1 species